ensembl:misc_RNA 7SK 7SK RNA
GGAUGUGAGGGCGAUCUGGCUGCGGAUCCGUCGCCCCAUUGAUCCCCAGGGUUGAUUCGACUGAUCUGGCUGGCUAGGCCUCCCUCACAGCUCCCUCACAGCUCUAUGUGGAUGUACCUCCAGAAGCUGCGCACUCGGUCGAAGAGGUCGGCCUUCCCCGAAUAUAGACGAACCGGUCUUUGGUCCAGGGUAUACAAGUAGUUGUGCUCCCCUGCUAGAACCUCCAAACAAGCUCUCAAGGUCCUCCUGUACUGCUUGUGGUAAUGUACAUUGGUCCCAACCCUGUGGAGAACAGUCUAGAGUACUCUCAGAA